UCGAACGCGAAAGUGGAGCAAUCCAUGAGUAGAGUGGCAAACGGGUGAGUAACGCGUGGGUGACCUGCCUUCGAGCGGGGGAUAACGUUUCGAAAGGAACGCUAAUACCGCAUGACAUCCUGCCUUUGAAGAGGUGGAGAUCAAAGCUGGGGAUCGCAAGACCUAGCACUUGAAGAGGGGCCCGCGUCUGAUUAGCUAGUUGGUGAGGUAACGGCUCACCAAGGCGACGAUCAGUAUCCGGCCUGAGAGGGCGGACGGACACACUGGGACUGAGACACGGCCCAGACUCCUACGGGAGGCAGCAGUGGGGAAUUGUUCGCAAUGGGCGCAAGCCUGACGACGCAACGCCGCGUGGAGGAUGAAGACCUUCGGGUCGUAAACUCCUUUCGAUCGAGACGAAAGACUUCCGGGUGAACAAUCCGGGAGAGUGACGGUACCGAGAGAAGAAGCCCCGGCUAACUCCGUGCCAGCAGCCGCGGUAAUACGGGGGGGGCAAGCGUUGUUCGGAAUUACUGGGCGUAAAGGGCUCGUAGGCGGCCAACUAAGUCGGACGUGAAAUCCCUCGGCUUAACCGGGGAACUGCGUCCGAUACUGGAUGGCUUGAGGUUGGGAGAGGGAUGCGGAAUUCCAGGUGUAGCGGUGAAAUGCGUAGAUAUCUGGAGGAACACCGGUGGCGAAGGCGGCAUCCUGGACCAAUUCUGACGCUGAGUGAGCGAAAGCCAGGGGAGCAAACGGGAUUAGAUACCCCGGUAGUCCUGGCCCUAAACGAUGAAUGCUUGGUGUGGCGGGUAUCGAUCCCUGCCGUGCCGAAGCUAACGCAUUAAGCAUUCCGCCUGGGGAGUACGGUCGCAAGGCUG
rnacentral:rRNA from 1 species